rnacentral:lncRNA from 10 species
UGGAAUUACAGGCAUGAACCACCACACCCGGCCCAUAUAUGACUUUUUUAAGGUCUCAUCUAAAAAUAUCCAAGUGACAUGGUCCAGCAAAAUUUGAUGGAACCCCAUAAAGAGAAAGAAAGAAAAAUACAAGAAAUUUUUACCAGUAUUCCAAAUUUCCUAGUUAUUGCCAUGCUUUAUAUCUGGAAAGGCAUUCUGACUGGGCCUUAUACAGAGGUAUAUAAUGAAAGAAAAUGGAAAUUUAGGUAGGCAAAUGUUUAUUGAAGUUUUAUGCAAUGUGCAAGAAAUAUACACAUUAUCUCAUUUAAUCUUAUCAAUAAUUGUAGACAUUCUUUGCCUGUCAUCUAUAUGGGGAAUCUGGAGAUCAGCUAGUUUGUGUAUUUUGCCUAAAUUCAUAUAGGACUUUAAUUAAGCAAUUUUUGUUUUUAAAACUUUUUUUUAAAUUACCAAAUCUUCAUGUUUUUUCAGGUAUAUCUUCCCCUUAUUUUAUAAUGCUGUAAGUUUUGCACUUGAAGAGAUACUGGGGAUAUUCAGAAUAGCUUAACAUUGGUAACAUCUUCAUACAUGACCUUCAAUGGACAUACAGAAGCAAAACUCCAUAUCCACUUCAACGGGGUUGCCAUUUGAAAUCGUGGGGUCGAGUCGUUGAGUGUGGCAAUAUCGUGCUAAACUAGGACUCACCGAGAGAGAAGUUGCUAAAUGUGUAUCUCAACUCAUGAAACAUUCGGUCCUAAGAUAUCAAGUGCAAUCUGAUUCCAGCCUGUGCAUUUUGACAACCUUUGACUGCUCUGCCAAUCGCCAGGUGCCCCUCUCCAGCCCAGUCAGUCGUUUCUGGCUCCAUUCAUAACUCUGCCGGAUGCCUCAUUAGAGAAGUGUCCUGAGACUUCUUGUGAGAUAUGCCUUCCUGAGACCUACCCAAUGUGCCCAUGCUGACUCCUACCAGACAGCUGAGAGACCAACUCAGAGAAGAAUAGCAAAGAAAGCAGAAAAUGGGAGGCUUUAUCCCAGUGCCCAAUCCCUGCUAGCUGAGCCAGUUGAGAGUCACAAACCAGGGAAAUCCAGAGAUUUUAGUUUCAUCUAUGGCCACUGGGGGUGAGCAGUAAGAAACUGAGGACUGUAAGAUGGAAGGCAACAUGACAGUGGUACAAAGGAGCUGUUUGUUGUGUUUUUGUUGAUGGUAGACCACUUAUAGCUAUUUCUCUUUAAUUAAAAAAAACUGUUUUAUGCAGCAAAGAAAAACAAAAUUGAGUAUAUAUUUAUGUUGCACCAUUUUUAAGGAGAAUCCAGGUAAGAUUCUAAAAUAAAAUAAAAUAAAAUAAAAUGUAUUAAGAGAGAAGAUGGGCAAGGGUGGAGAAGAGAAAGAGAGACAGAGAGAGAGGGAGAGAAAGAAACUUUUCACCAAGUAUUCUAAAGUACUGGUAGCCAAAAUGAAGGCUCAUUUCUGUUCUACAAAGAGAAAUAACCUAUAAGUGCAAGUGUUUGAAAUGUUAGCUCCAGGAGAAUUAGUGUGACGGGAAGUAACACUUCCUGUAAAACCAGUCUCCUUACAGACGCAUCACCAUCUUCUUCCAGGCAAUUGUGUUUAGAAGUCAGGCAAAGGCAAGCUCUCAGAGGCAGAAUUCCAUUUUGGACUGCAGGCAUGUAAUCCAUAACUUCACCAAGCAGUCAGUAAACAAAUUCAUGAGGAUAUCUUUCUCUCAUGUUUUUUUUUUCCUUCCAGACCUUGCAUUUUAUUAUCUCACAUGAUGAAUUCCUGCUUUCAUGUAUAUAAAGACAACAUUACAAGUUUUACCUGUAUUUUGAAUACUACAGUUCAGCUUCUUCUAAUUUAAGUCAGUCUCCUGGUCAGCUACCAGACUCAAUCCAUCCCCCUUCAAAUUCUGUUUUAUGUUUCAAAUCCCCCAAUCUUUGACCCUUACUCCAAGAAGGAUUAGAAUAAGUAUCACACAUGAAAUAGAGGCAAUAAAAAUGAACAUUCCACUUUGAUCUUUCCAUUUGAAUAUUUUGUGGUGCAAACAGAGAAGAGUAAAGGAGGAAGCAGGUCUUCUUCAAAGCAGCGUUCUAAAUAGUGUAUGACAGCCAAUUACUGAGUCUAGCGCGGUCUUUCACACUUCCUGCUUCAAAUGAGAAUGCAAAGGAAGCCGUGUUCCUUUCCAUAGAUAACUUUUUUGAUGAGAACAUUGAAGAAUUUGCACUGGAAAAAAUAGAAUUAUAAUGGAAUUACACAAAAUACUGUAUACACCUGCCUUUACUGAAGCCAUUUUGUCCAGAUGUUAAAUAUUCAGACAUCAAAACACUUAAAUUAAUGAGAUAAAAUCUAAAAGUUACUAGUUAGAUGUAUUAAAUAUGGUUUAAAAAUACCUGAUUGAAUACCAAAAAGAUCUGUUGUUGUUGUUGUUGUUGUUUUUUGAGACAGAGUCUCGCUCUGUUGCUCAGGGUGGAAUGCACUGGCACAAUCUCAGCUCAUUGCAACAUUUGCCUUAUGGGUUCAAGUAAUUCUCCUGCCUCAGCCUCCCAAGUAGCUGGGAUUACAGGCGUGUGCCACGAGGCCCAGCUGAUUUUUGUAUGUUUAGUAGGGACGGGGUUUUGCCAUGUUGCGUAGGCUGGUCUGGAAGUCCUGGCCUCAAGUGAUCCAACGACCUUGGCCUCCCAAAGUGUUGGGAUUACAGGCGUAAGCCACUGUGCCUAGUCCCCAAAAAUAUCAUUUUUAUAAAAUAAGAUAAAAUAAUAGUUGCACCAUAAAGUUACUUUAGAAGUUUUUUUUUAAUUUAAGAAACUAUUUCAUAAGCACCUUGCAAUAGAACUUAAAACCUUCAAAACAACAGCCAGCAGCAAACAAAAGAUGAAUAAGUGGUACUGCAUAUGAAAAUGAGAGGAAGAUAUAGAAAAAAGAGGAGGACUGGUGAAGGGAAAAGGGAGAAAGUGGAGCGGGAGCAGGUUCAAGGCUAGGGAUGAGAUGGCAUGGGAAAAGUUCUCACAAUGGGUGGCCAAAAGUGGGCCAGUGGGAUGGUUACCUUAGAUGUGAGUACCCCCUCUUCCACCCCCUCCUCUUACUGUAUCUCUCAUAAAAGCGGCAAACUACAAAUGUCUAUGAAUGAGGACUUUCUGCAAAUAUUAAAGAAAAGGGUGUAUUUGACAUCUGGGUUUUCAAGCCCAAAAU